rnacentral:misc_RNA from 1 species
UUUCCGUAGGUGAACCCGCGGAAGGAUCAUUACUGAAGUGAGUCUUCAUCAUUGAAGCUUCUUCCCAUUGUGCUGGCUUUGACCGUAUGUAAUGUUGGGGAUUAAACAUGGUAGAAAUUUAUUUUAGCCGUCCCCAACAAUUUAUCUUAUCCUUUAUUAAAUUGAACUGAACUCAUUUUGAGAUUACAUAAAAAAUAAUCUUUUAAUACAACUUUCAACAACGGAUCUCUUGGUUCUC